UUGCCUUUCCCGGACCGUUCUCCCCACUCCCAGCCUCGCUCCCCUCCGCUACCCCUGGGGCCCCCGUCCUCGAGGACCAGGACAAACCAACCCUUCUCCCCAAAAACAGCUGCCAGAGGGAGGGAAGCCCCGUGGCGCUCCCGUUUCUCGCUGCCCCCCGGGACAGCCGUCACCCUCCCCCGGCUCCAACAGCGCGGAAAAUGAGCGGCCCGACGGCACCGACGGCUGCGAGGAGGCGGCCUUUUGGGGAGCACGGGCGUGAGGACACCCGCCUCAGGGUCACUCCCAAUGCAAAAAGCGAAACAAAGCAUCGGAAAAGGAAAGGAGGGGAAAAAGUGGGAAAAAUAAAUAAAUAAGAAUGAAAAGAAGAGGUACGGAUCGCAGCUCCUCCCCCCUGGGGACCCGGCCGACGGCCAACGCAGGGGCGCGGGGGUUGCCGGGCCCGUCCCGUCGCAGGUGGGGAGCGCCCCCCCCCCGCAACGUACGGGCAGCGAGGGCACGAAGAGGAGCGCGGACGAAGUUUUAUUUUUAGGAAAACGUUUGCAAAGGAGAGAGAGAGAAACGACCUCGGACGGAGAGAGAACGGCGGAGGGGCUGCGGCCGGGGCUGCCCGCAGUGCGCUGCCGUCGGGGCCCGACCGGUGGGUCCGUACGGAGCGCUACGGCCGGGGGGGGCUGCAGGAGCGAAUGGAGAGCGGCAGAAACGCGGAGGGCUCCGUUCUCGUUAGUCCGACUCGUAGAAAUGUAACCAAAAGGGGUACAUCAACUCAGCGCGAAAACACACACGCCGAUUUCGGUAGCUCGGGAUAACUCGAGAGGAAUUGGAAGAGUCUGUCAGGAAAACAACAGCAACAACAACAAUAAUAACAGCAAUAACAAUUGCCGGAGGUGGGGGAUAAAAAAAAAAAAGAGAGAGAGAGUGGAAAAGUUCCGAGCCGCAAAGUUUGCGCCGAUCGUAGGGACGCAAAAUGCGCGCAGAGGGCCGUUCGCCUCCCCCAGCACUGUGCGAGGGACGCUGCAGCGCUGAGCUCUGUAAUAAUGAUUAAUAAGUCAAAAGGGCAUAUUUUGCUUUUACGGUAUGCAGCGCUCCAGGGAAUAUUCUGCGUACGGCUUUAAAACGAAGUAGGGAUAUUUACACACAUGCACGGAGUUAGCAACAGCACCAAAGGCAGAAAAAACCCCUCGAAUAUUUCAGCGAACUAUUACAUUUUUUCAAUUAUUUCCCAAUGAGCAUUUCAAUGAACUGUUACAUUUUCCCAAUUCGCGGGGAAGAUUUAUGGGAUUAUUAAGAUUUCUAGUGGAAAUAUUAUCCAGUGGAAGUUUAUCGUCUCUCGGGGGCUGUACACCAUUUGAUAUCAAUUUCCAGAUGUUAUGAUCUUUUUUCAGAAAAUAAUUGAGCACAUUACCUCCCUUCCUACAGAAGACCCUUUCGGUGUUUAUUUAUUUAUUCUGUCGGGGGCACGGCUGUCUCUUCUCCCCCAGAACGAAAUUUCUCGAAACGCUCGAGCAAACUUAAAUCAGAAACUGCUCGAUCCUCGGGGGGAGGAAUAAUUCAUUUGCGGGGUCGUUACGGGCAGAAGCCCGUGGGUUUGCCUCCUCUUCCACGCCACGCUUCGCGCGGAGGACGCAGCCCACGACGGCCGCCGGAGCGUUCCGG
ensembl:lncRNA